GAACCCUCGGGACCCCGCCUGGCGAUUGCCAGGCGGGGCCCCGGCGUUGGGGAUCGGCUGCCCCCCGCGGCUGCCGGCCCCGAAAUCUAGUGACGGUCUCACCGCAUACUCCUUUGCGUAGUAAAACACCUCGCACUGGACGGCUGGAGUGACCACGUCGUUAACCACCAACUUAUCAAGG
rnacentral:misc_RNA from 1 species